CACGUAGGGCGCAAGCGUUGUCCGGAAUUAUUGGGCGUAAAGAGCUCGUAGGCGGUCUGUUGCGUCCGCUGUGAAAACUCGGGGCUUAACCCCGGAGCCUGCAGUGGAUACGGGCAGACUAGAGGUAGGUAGGGGAGAAUGGAAUUCCCGGUGUAGCGGUGAAAUGCGUAGAUAUCAGGAGGAACACCUGUGGCGAAAGCGGCUCACUGGACCACAACUGACGCUGAUGCACGAAAGCGUGGGGGAGCAAACAGG
rnacentral:rRNA from 1 species